rnacentral:lncRNA from 1 species
CUUUAUUGGAGCCACCGAAUCAUUCUAAAUCGGCUAAGUGGAUAUUGACUUGUUAUUUGUUAAGCAUUUCUGCAUUUAGCCUACACUUUAUAUUUGAACGAAUCACAAUUGUUAUUUAAGAGUGUUGUAGUGACUAGCAACCCAACAAAGUGAGUCCCAAGUAUAAAUAUUCACAAAAUGAAUGACAAAUAGCAGUUGAAAUUCUACUUUUCCUCUAUUAGAUAAAUGCAAACCAUUGAAAUUCUACUUUUCCUCUAUUAGAUAAAUGCAAACCAGUUUGACUUGAGAAAAAAAAAAUUGUAGGCAUGAAGAUUGAAGAGGUAAGAAUAAGAAAGAAAGCAAAAUGAUUAAGAUUGAUCACUCCCCUUUUUAUAAGUUGUUGACGUCAAUUGUAUGCCACGGGAGAGUCCACUUCCGCGCCCAAAGUGCAGGCUAACAAUGGCACUAUUUUAUCCUUUUGAAAUUCUCCAAAACGAACCGAAGCAGCAGCUCAAAGCUUCCAAAUUGCUGUAAGUUCAGCUGAGCAUAUUAAAAUAAGUGUUUUAUAUCAUCUUCUUUUUCUCACCUGUGUAGUCACCAUUGUAAUUGCCAACACGGACUUCUAUUUCAGAUAGAAUAUUCCAAAAAUUACCAAGCCUAGGUCAUCAAAUAGCUGAUUGUUGGCAAAAACUUCCUGGGCAAAAUGGCCCAAGAAAAUAAUAGGCCCAAUUCCGUGUAUCUCCAAAUGGUGAAUUAAAUGGCGUUAUGAGGCUUAAGGAAAAUACAUGAGUACAGCAGCCCAAAACGAGAAUACAAAGAGUCCAAACAAUCACUUCAUACCAUAAUGAGUCAUGCGACCAAAGAAAAUAAAUCUUGAGCCCAAUUUAAGCAUAAUAUAAAACGGGGAGCUCCAAUGAAUUUCCACUUUAAACUUUUGACUUUGUAGAAUGGGCCCAAGUGGAUAAUGGAUUAAUUAGCCCAAAAUAAAGCGAUAGGAGAAAGUCUUUGUACCAAUCGGCCUCGAGAGAAUUAGUGCAGAAAAUAAAGCUGGCAAAGUACAAAUAUCUGAUUGGGAAAAAGUCCUCAUAGUGCUGAAAGGGAAAGGCCAAGAUAUUAGGGAGACACGUCACCUUAAAGGACAUAUUAGGCUGCUAGAUGUGAUAUAUCUCUCCAAACCAGACACCAUUCAAAGAAAACCAUGGCUACCAAAACCACUUUGAGAGAAAGCAAUCGAAAUAGUUGGUGAUUACCGGAGGCAUUAAACUGGUCUCCGCAAUGGGUAGAGGCUAAAUUGGUCCAAUUGGUUCCACACCUUUGGUGCAUGAUAGUGCGGGGCAUUUGGUUGUUAGCAAUUGGCUUGAAUAAUGGUGCAAGAUCUAUCAAUUGAAGAAGACACGGCAGUCACUUUAGGCUAGCGAUUCGAGACAUAAUUGAUUUGAAAAAUUGGAUCGAUUGGAGGCUGGAUUGAAUUAAUUAAAUGCACACCCAAGUUCAUAUGAGGAUACUAGAUGCUUAAAUAGUGGUAAUUUGGUGAAAAAUGACAUAGGACCCCCUCAAUUGGAAAAACCGCUACUGCCUCAUCGUGCGUGCUAACUUGGCUUGUUUUCCCAAAAUAUCUAGCCAUGUUUAAGACCUGUAUUGGUGAUGUUAAUACAUUAGGAUGGUAGUGUAGAUGAGGGGAGAUGAAGGGUGGUGGCCGGCCAUGGGUGUUGCCAGAAGUGGUGGAAUCAAUUUAUAUAGGGCAUGUAGAUCGAGGCGGUUCCCACCAAUUUCUACCUCUAAUUGGAUAUUUGGAUCUGUUAAUUGUUGGAUUGUGUUUUUGGUGAGAUUCCAUCGGCGUAGAGGGCAAUUUCUUUGUGGCAAGGGUGGCGACAAGAUGGUGGUAUGGGUGAUAAGCACGACAAAUGCAUAAGGGGGCAAAAAUCACUCUUCUUGAGGAAAGAAAAUUAAGUCCAUUAUUGAUUGCUAUCUUUUCCACUUUCAAGUAGAAGACUACUAGGAAAAUACCUCUUUUUGACGUGGCUUAUUGUUGUGGUAAAAACAUGGUUAUUGUAUCGAGUUCCCACAGACAGCGUCAAUGAUGAUGCCAAAAAUUGUACCUGUGAUUUUUCGAGAUUGAGGACCCCAGAACAAACACAAAUAGAGCCUUCCAACACCUAAAAAAGGCAACGAUGUGUGUCCUCGUCGUCCCUUCGAUGCUUAAGUCAGACGAGGAAUUUAUUUGAAAGUAUGUGCUGAAAUUGUAUUGUAAAAACGUACCUCAAUAAUGAGCAUUGGUCCAGUAUUUAUAGAUGUUGGUGGUUGAAUUGUAAAAGAAUUCAAUUAUCUUAUAUAGUGAUUGAGUUAUAUUACAAUUACCUUUAGGAGUUUGAUUUGGAUUGUAAUAAGUUUAAUAUUUGGACAAGGAUGAAUGACCGAGACAUGGGAGGACUGAAACAUGUAAAAGUUACUAGAUAAGGACAAGAUAAUCAUUAUCUUUACGUAUGGCCCGACCUCAUAAGCCUCGACCUAAACUCUAAAGCCCAACCUUAAUUCUUGGAUAAUUGAAGGAGGGCGGGAUCGGGCUUUCGAGUUUGAGAUCGGGUGUUGCAAAAAUUGUGCACCUCAAAACCUAUGGUUGAAAAAUUAUAAAUCCUAUGAAAUGGCUUUUUACAUGAAAUUUUAAUUAGAAUUUAACUUAAUAGGAGCUAAAUAGAAUACUAUGAAGGCAAGCAUAAAUAGGAGUCUUAGUUUUGAUCAUGGAAGUACGAAGAAAGAGUGAAAACAAAUAUAGAACCUUUGUUGAAGGAUGUUAUGAAGAUCAUCAUCAACUUUAAAGAAAUCUCUAGAAUCUUGUGAUUGCUUCCACUUGUGUAUUUUUGGUAGUUGCUGAAACCAUCUACAAUUGACGCCAAGGUGGAGAAAAUUCUAGACAAGCUGCUUUAUUAUUUUCGUCACCAAUUGCAAAGAAUGAUCUAGAAUUAUCAAAGGCCAUUUCCACCGCCAUCCUAGAAGAUUCAGCCACCGACCUUGCAUGUGUAUAUAUAUGUGUGUUCGCCGUGUGUAUAUGGGUAGAGAAAAGAAAAGAGAGAUAGAAGCAGCAGUACAUAUGUAGAGAGAGUGAUAAAGAGAUAGAUAUAGUGGGUGAGAGAGAGAAUUGUGCUGAUGAAAAUAGUUAGUUAGGUAUUACAAUUAAUAUCGAAUUGCUUGCUUAGAGUGUGGAAGGGUGUAUUUGUCAAAAAUUAAUUGUACAAGUUCCUUGUGUAAUAAAAACAAUUUCUUGUGUGUUCCAAAUUCAACAAUUGGUAUCAGAGCAAGGCAGUCUGGGAAGGAUUUUUUGAGCUUCUUGAGUUCUUGCACAAAAGGAGUCUGUGAAGCUUUUGUAAAUUUUGCUUGAUUAUGAGGAGGUAAAUCAAGUCAGGAUGAACGAUCUACAAGUGGUAGGCGGUGUAAAGAAGCUCAAUAAUCAUAAUUACACCACAUGACAAACUUGCAUGGAAUCGUAUCUCCAAGGGCAAGAUCCGUGGGAGGUAGUUGGCGGAAGUGAAGUAACGCCACCAGAGGAGGCCGGAGCUUUGAAGAAAUAGAGAAUCAAAACGGGUAAGACUUUGUUUAUUAUAAAGACAACAAUCGAAAAAGAAUUAUUAGAGUACAUAAGAGACAAGAUUAUACCAAAGGAUGCAUGACACACUUUGGCCUCACUAUUCUCAAAGAAAAAUGCCUUGAGGUUGCAAAUUCUAGAAAACGAGUUUCUCUCGAUCACUCAAGGAUAAUUAACCGUAAGCCAAUACUUUAAUAAAGCUAAAUCUCUCUGUCGUGAAUUUCCAGGUAUAGAUGCUUCAAGUAAAAUUUCGGAGUCGAAAAUGAGAAGAAUAAUUAUAUAUGGUUUGAGAUUCAAAUUUAGAAGUUUCAUCACUGCAAUACAAGGUUGGCCAGAGCAGCCUUCAUUGGUCAAUAUUGAGAAUUUGCUAGCUGAUCAAGAAGCAUUAACAAGACAAAUGUUAGGGGUCUUACUAAGAAAGAAGAGGAAGAAGCAUUAUUUAGUUAUAAAAGAAGAGAUCGACUCCAUGAACAAAAUAAUAAAGAAUUAGUAGAAGAUAAAUUUAAAGGAUGGGUUGAAGGAAGUUACCAGACAAGGAGAGUUCAAUGAAGCUGCUAUAGGAGAGAUCAACCAUUCAAGUGAUUCGAACGAAAUAAUGGCUCAUGUUUUAUAUGUGGUAAACGAGGCCAUUAUGCAAAAGAUUGCUGGUUUAAAAAGGAGCCAGCAGAAGGCAAUAUGACAACCUCCAAUGAAGAGAAAUAUGAUAGUGAAAAAGAAUGGGACAUUGAGGCACCGAUAACAAUGAUUUAGCAGACUCGAGAAAAGAAAUUCAAUUCGAGUUUAAAGAAUGAAUCCGCAAUGGUGGUAGUCCUGCGUGAUCAAUUAGAUUCCAAAGAUGAUUGGGUUAAUGAGUCAAAAGAUGAUGACUCAUAAGAAGAUUGGAUCGAUGACUCAAAAGAGGAAAUCGAGGUUCAGGAAGAGUCUUCAGGGUGGAUUUCGCAGAGGGAGAAACUACCAGAUUCAGAAUUAGAAGAAGUGUUUGAAAAAAUGUAGACACCGCAGAGGGUGAAUUUGCUAGAGCAGAUACCGCAGAGGAUGGAUCUACUGGAUCAAACACCGUAGAGGGUGGAGCAGACACCAAAGAGGGUGGAGCUGCUAGAUUUAAAAAAAAUGGAUGACAAAUUGCAAGAGGAAAUCACGGAAGCACGACAAGCCCUAGAGAAAGUAAAGAUUUGUGAAUACUAAGUAAUAAAUAAAUGUUUAUUAGAGCAACACAGAGUACAAAGGAUAAAAAAUGUUGACAAGCUAUUAAGGUACGUAUAAAUCCACAAUCACAAAUUAGAAAAUCGGGACGACGUGAGAAUUCAAGCACCAAGUAUCCUAAUCUAAAAAUCAGAGAAAAUGAAAGCAUGGAAGAGAUAAAUACAUUCGAAGUGGCAAAUAUGUUGAAUGAAGAACCAAGCACUUCAAAAUUUGUUGAGGCAAAAUUAAAUGUGACGAAAAAGAAAAGAGUCAAAAUGGAAAGUCGGUGCUGAAGGAGAGAAUUGAAAAUCAUCACCGACUUUAAAGAAAUCUCUAGAAUCUUGUGAUUGCUUCCACUUGUAUAUUUUUGGUAGUUGCUGGAACCAUCUACAAUUGACGCCAAGGUGGAGAAAAUUCUAGACAAGUUGCUUUAUUAAUUUCGUCACCAAUUGCACGAACGGUCUAGAAUUAUCAAAGGCCAUUUCCACCGCCAUCCUAGAAGAUUCAGCCACCGACCUUGCAUGUGUAUAUACACGUGUGUUUGCCGUGUGUAUAUGUGUAGAGAAAAGAACAUAUGCAGGGAGAGUGAUAAAGAGAUAGAUAUAGUUGGUGAGAGAGAGUUGUGCUGCUGAAAAUAGUUGGUGGGGUGUUACAAUUAAUAUCGAGCUGCUUGCUUAGAGUGAUGUUAUUUAGAGUGUGGAAAGGUGUAUUUGUCAAAAAUUAAUUGUACAAGUUGCUUGUGUAAUAAAAACAAUUUAUUGUGUGUUCCAAAUUCAACAUGUUAGAGCUGGCAUCAAGCAAUGUUGCAGCCAUAACUUCUUUCUUUACCGGAAUAACCAAAACUAAUUCUCAACGAAAAAAUAGCUACUUCAAGUUCAAAGAGGUCUGAAUUGGAAAAGGAAGAGACACGUGAGUUGUUAAAAAAGAGAAGAAACUGAAAUUCGAUCACUUGGAAUAGAA